rnacentral:rRNA from 1 species
UACGGAGGAUCCGAGCGUUAUCCGGAUUUAUUGGGUUUAAAGGGAGCGUAGGCGGGUUGUUAAGUUAGUUGUGAAAGUUUGCGGCUCAACCGUAAAAUUGCAGUUGAUACUGGCAUCCUUGAGUACAGUAGAGGUAGGCGGAAUUCGUGGUGUAGCGGUGAAAUGCUUAGAUAUCACGAAGAACUCCGAUUGCGAAGGCAGCCUGCUGGACUGUAACUGACGCUGAUGCUCGAAAGUGUGGGUAUCAAACAGG